GUCAUCAUCAUAGGGUAGACCCAGGGACGCUACAGUGAUCCCCCUCAAAGUAGUAUACAACUGUGAUGCCGGAAAUAUCUUACUUUUGCUUGAAAGGAAUUCUCUUAAAAGGUGGUAUACGGCUUGACGUGAGGAAAGACUAUUUACUAUUCGCAUUUCAUUUCAAUUUAACGAUCCUCUUUAUCCUGUCAUCUGAUUUCACCCUCGGCAACGACCAACAGUAUUCAGAGAGUUAAUGAUGCAAUGUUCUCUCUUAUGGCAGUAGAUUAGAAAUUCAUUCGAUUAGAAGUUCAGUACAGAGAGAGAGAGACAGACAGAGAGUAAGAGAGAGAGAAAAUAAAAUGGGGAAAAGGAAGGAUAGAGAGAUUUAAAGCUCGGAAGAAAUAAACGGAGGAGCGAAUGGCAGAGUUGACCUCACAUAAACAAAGUGACUCAGCACUAUGCUCAAAAUGGCUGCCUGAUCAAGUGGAGUUUUUUUUUCUCCCCCAUCUCCAUGCAGACACAGUUUCUGAAGGGUUAUGCUGUUGCUUUUGAAACAGUAGUACUACUUUUUUUAUUUACUCCUUCAUGCAGUAUCCCACGUUAUCUGCCAUUUAACGCCACUACGUCCCCCUCAUGUUAGUGUUUAGAAUUGUCUUUGUUGGAUGGGGACGACAAAUACUUCAACUGACCUAUUGUAUAUCUUGAGCAACACACUUUUUCAGAUAACAGUGUAAACUUGAUGACACAGGGAUUUAUGUCCAUGUCCCUUUGAAGGUUUCAGUACCAUUGUGACCCCACCUCUCUGUGCCUCUGUUGACACAUUGAUUGGUUAAAUAAUAUAAUGUGAUACGGUGGGUUCCGGAUGGUUGUAUACACAUCAUUACGUCUUGUCAAAAGUGUAUUUUCUAAGAGAGACAUAUUUUGAAGGCAUCCUUGUCAAAGUGGUUUCAUCAGAUCAGUGUAGCAAUAAUGCCUGGGCCACUGUGGAGUUGUCUGAUGUCUCUCCAUGAAGAUCAGUAGAACAUUCCGCCCAGAGGUUCUGCUAAGCAGUUAGACCCCUUGGGCCAGCUAUCACUCAGCCAUCCCCUAUGUGAGGUUGGGUCUAUACAUUUCUGGUCUGGCUGAACAACUUUCAUCGCCCAUCAGAUAGGUGACGACGGCGAAGGUGUCACCACCUGUUAAAGGAGGAAAGAGAAAGAGAGGAAAAGGGAGAGAGAAAGCGAGUGUGAGGAAGUGAAAAACAGAACAUAAUGAGAUGAGAGUCAGAGUUGCUGAUUGAUCCAAAAUCAGAGCGUGUGGUGCUGGGAGGCUACAUGCGGUUCCUGGUUGGUUAUUUAUACCCACUGGUGUUGCUAAGUGGGAGCGUGAGGCGCCAUGUGGAAGAAUCUUCAAAGUAGCCACACUUCGCCUUGAGGACAAUUAUGCACACUCUUGGCAUUCCCUCAACCAGCUUCACCUGGAAUGCUUUUCCAACCGUCUUGAAGGAUUUCCCACAUAUGCUGAGCACUUGUUGGCUGCUUUUCCUUCACUCUGCGGCCCAGCUCAUCACAAACAUCGCAACUUGGUUGAGGUCGGGUGAUUGUGGAGGCCAGGUCAUCUGAUGCAGCACUCCAUCACUCUCCUUCUUGGUCAAAUAGCCCUUACACAGCCUGGCGGUGUGUUGGGUCAUUGUCCUGUCGAAAAACAAAUGAUAGUCCCACAAAGCAGAGACCAGAUGGGAUGGCGUAUCGCUGCAGAACGCUGUAUUAGCCAUGCUGGUGAAGUGUGCCUUGUUGGUCACCAUGAUGUUUUCAUAUCUUUAUUUUGCAUUCAAGCCUCAGAACAUACAGAACAUUAAUAGACAAGAACAGCUCAAGGACAUGAUGGGUUCUGACUUUUAAACUUGAGAUAUUGUUCAUUAUCAGGUAUCCUAUGGAAAUGAUGAGUGCCUUAGUCUGGUUUCUACUCCAGAAGGUAAUGGUUAUCUGUAGGAGGAAUGUAAAUGGUGGAGGCAAUUAAAGCUUGGAAUGUACUGAGUAAAGGAAAGGCCAUCACAUGGUUGCAGUCACUGAUAAGGGUGGAGAGACUUGGUUUAGUGAGGAAUGGAGGUCACGUCAGGUCACAUUAAGGGAGAAGGAACCGUUUAUUGCCUGCAUCACUUAAUUUCCUACCUAGCAUCAAAUAUGUGGUGUUUAGAGAGAAGGAGGAUAUUUGAGGUAUAUAUACUACCACUGGU
ensembl:lncRNA